GACAGAGGGUGCAAACGUUGUUCGGAAUUACUGGGCGUAAAGCGUGUGUAGGCGGCUAGGUAAGUCGGAUGUGAAAGCCCCGGGCUCAACUCGGGAAGUGCACUCGAUACUGCUUAGCUCGAGUACCGGAGAGGUUGGUGGAAUUCUCGGUGUAGAGGUGAAAUUCGUAGAUAUCGAGAGGAACACCGGUGGCGAAGGCGGCCAACUGGACGAGUACUGACGCUGAGACACGAAAGCGUGGGGAGCAAACAGG
rnacentral:rRNA from 2 species